rnacentral:rRNA from 1 species
AUUGAACGCUGGCGGCAUGCCUAACACAUGCAAGUCGAGCGGAUGAAGGGAGCUUGCUCCUGGAUUCAGCUGCGGACGGGUGAGUAAUUCCUAGGAAUCUGCCUGGUAGUGGGGGAUAACGUCCGGAAACGGGCGCUAAUACCGCAUACGUCCUUAGUGAGAAAGUGGGGGAUCUUCGGACCUCACGCUAUCAGAUGUGCCUAGGUCGUAUUAGCUAGUUGGUGGGGUAAAGGCCUACCAAGGCGACGAUCCGUAACUGGUCUGAGAGGAUGAUCAGUCACACUGGAACUGAGACACGGUCCAGACUCCUACGGGAGGCAGCAGUGGGGAAUAUUGGACAAUGGGCGAAAGCCUGAUCCAGCCAUGCCGCGUGUGUGAAGAAGGUCUUCGGAUUGUAAAGCACUUUAAGUUGGGAGGAAGGGCAGUAAGUUAAUACCUUGCUGUUUUGACGUUACCAACAGAAUAAGCACCGGCUAACUUCGUG